rnacentral:misc_RNA from 1 species
AAAACAAUUCGGAACAUUUAGCAACUUAAACAAUAACGUGAACACCAAUGUCAAACAACUCUUAUGACGGUCAUGGAGUUGGCCCAUAAAAUGAGCAACUCCAUCGGUAAUCAUAAAUGAGACAGCAAAUUCUGGGCAUUCUCAAUUACCAUUCACACAGCAACUAAACUCCAUAUCCCCAUCAAAAAGAAUAGAAAACUAGGACGUUGCAGCCAUAAAUCAACACUGCCAGAUGCCUGAGACGGUUGAGACUUUGAGACGCACCCCCAAACUUUACAAGAACAUGACACCAAGCAGUAACCUAAGAACAUUGAUGGCCGUAUAUGUUUGCAAAUCUACAUUGCCUUAACACAUCCUCAAUUAUUCCACUUCUUCAUCUGAAAAAUCCAUUCACCGGCGAUCACCGCCACUGCCACGUUCCUUCUCAAUCUGCUGCCUCUGCUUCUCGGCGAGUUUUUCAAGAGCCGACUCCACUGCAUCUCGGCCGCCAAUAAGUAAUCGGGUCACGAUUUCCGGAUCCUUCUCGAACCGUGCCUCUUCAAACUCCUUCCUAGCGUUCUCCCUCAAUACAUCUCUCCACAAUACGCCUCGAGAAUCGGGCCAGAUGAAAAACCGGGUCGCUCGCAGGAUGUCUCUAUACAGAUGCAGUGCCUCUCUUCGAUUGCUGGUGAGCCGCUGUCGAUUCAGCAACUCCUCCUCAUCGUCAUCCAGCGAUUUCUCCUUUUUCACGACAUGUCGGUCUAAUAAUUCCUCUAUGGUGUCUGGGCCAUUGUGUAGAAGCCGCUGGUUAGAAACGAUGGCGUUUAGCGUAGUAGAACUCGUCAAAAUCGAUAGAUUCCGGCAUUUCUGCACCUUCGUGCUCAUCGUAUUCUCUCUCUCCGCCUUCACUUUCUUGGCCGCCGAAGCACUGGUGCGCUGUGCUCGUCUAUAGUCUAAAC